UCUACACUCAGGUUUUGCGUAAGGCAAUCGCCUUCUGAUUACAACAGCUUCCCUGCUUUGAGGCAGAAAGCUUGGAGGUCAUUUUUGAAGUUUCAAUUGUUUCCUCUGUUACACAUGCACAUAACCUCGAAAUAAUGGUGUAGCAAAUUUUUGUCCGUACCUAAUUAAUUUUCUAGUCAUGUCACAAACGUCAAUGGGAUUCACUGAUCAACAACAACAAAGGGCUCAGAGUCAAGUUGGGGCACCCUACAUUCCCACGGAGGAGGAGAAGAGGGUGUUUCGGGAAUGCAACCAAGAGAGCUUCUGGUACAGAUCCCUUCCGUUAACUGCUGUGGCAGUGUCUGUAGCUCAAGCACUCGUUAUGAAAGGAGUCCUUGCACCCUCACCACGAUUUGGUUCCCUGCCUAAAGUAGCUAUUGCUGGUCUGUUUGGGUACAUUGGCGGGAAGAUCUCCUACACAAAGAUAUGUCAGGAGAAGUUCAAAAAUCUGGAGAAUUCCCCAUUGGGUGAAGCCCUAAGACAAGGACAACGUUAUAUCCCUCAACAGUUUGCUCCUCAGAACCCAUCAGAGUUGGGAGAUCCUAACCAGGCUUUUUUUGAACAAGCCUCCCAGUCAGUGGCGGAACCUCGCACCCAAGCAGACUCCUUCAGCUACCCUAGUGACUUCUAUAGUGAUCAGGGUGCUCUAUUGAGCCCUCCCCUCACUGAGUCUGACCCCACAGGAGCUGCAGCUGAUGUCAACCAACCAGUCCCUCCUUACUUGGAUGAUGAGACUCCCAAAAAGAGACCAACCCUGUACGAGGACCUACGAAGCAGAAACCGUGAGAACUACGAGGUUACCCUGACCCAAAAAGCAGACACUCUGCUCAAGUCCCCAGCUGAAACACCUGUUCCGAAGAGAGAUGUUUGUAGGAAUAAUUUGCCAUGCAGGCUGCAUCACAUCCAGCCGUGAUUGGGAGUGCCAUAGGGCGGCGCACAAUUGGCACAGCGUUGUCCGGGUUUGGCCGGGGUAGUCAUUUGAAAAAGAACCAAUAUGGAGAUGCAUGGGACGAGUGAAGAGUCUGCUUCAGGAGCCAGUGAUCAGCUGCUGUACCAGGAGAAGAAGGCAAGAGGGCACAUGUAGUAUACACAAGACCUCUGCUUUUUAUGCAAUCAUGCUAUAGAAAUCUGAAAAACACGUUUGACGUUUCCAAAGUGAUAAAUGUCAAAUCAUAUAUUGUCAAAAGGUUAACAUGAAUAGCAGCUUUCUAGAAUUGUCCAAUACAAUUGAAUGCAGCCAACAGGCUUACCAAUAGCUUGUGUAUCAGUGGAGGCUGCUGAGGGGAGGACUGCUCAUAAUAAUGGCUGGAAUGGAGUCAAUCGAAUGGUAUCAAACAUGUCUCCAUUCCAGCCAUUAUUAUGAGCCAUCCUCCCAUCAGCAGCCUCCACUGCUAUGUUUCCAUCCCAUCAUUUUAGCUAUGUAACUGGGUCUUAUUCAAAUGUGAAUGUUCAGUAUUGAGCUCAUACUAUUUUGAAGGUUUAUCUGUAAAUCCUAAAUGAAUAUAAUUGACUAUGUCCAUUUGGUGUUAUCUGGACCGUAUCUGACGUCAGGUUAUUGCGUUGAGGGUAGCAGAUCAGAUUAUAACGCUAUAUGAUGUAAAAGCAGAAUGUUGAGGGCCUCUUUGAAGACCAUCUUAGCACAGGUGGACAUCUGAAGGUUUAGUUUGGCAGUGUGUUGUCUCGGUAAUAAUGGAUAGGUCCCCUUGUUUUUUUCACAGCGGUGUCAAAAGUAACAUAAAACAAAGGCUGCGUUGACUGAGAUGUCCUCCAGGACCAAGCUUACCCAGAUUCUCUGGUCUGUUGACUUUUCAGCAACAUGUGUCGCAGACAUUAAAAAAAUAGCACUGUGUAACACGUAUCUCUUUCCUUCUGUUUAUGUUUUGUCAAACAACUGUGUUGAUUAUUAAAUCAUACCCAAAUUGG